UGUUUUCCCCUAAAAUUUAUUUUUAGCAAAUUGAACUAAAAGAAAUAAUCAUGUGUGUGUUUAACAAAUCUAUAAAAUCCUUACACUUGCUCUGAAAGUGGAAUCCUUACUUUUCAUUUCAAAGGUUACCAGUUUAUUGGACCCAAUGUGCUGGUAUUGUACAGAGUGGAGACACACACUCAGCACAUUAAGUCAGCAAACAUGACAUCUGGUGUGGUUGGUUUAUUCAUGUUGUCACUGCUGCUCCCUGGAAUAGAUGCUGCUUUCUUGAAUGCUGACACACAACAGCUGUGCUCCUACUUAUGUAAUAUAAACCAAUGUCCAGACAGUUGCAGAAUGCAAGUUGGUGUGAAGUGGUCACGAAGAUCUCUCAACUCAGUUCUUCACUUCAAGAG